rnacentral:rRNA from 1 species
GACAGAGGGUGCAAACGUUUGUUCGGAAUUACUGGGCGUAAAGCGCGUGUAGGCUGCUCGGAAAGUCGGAUGUGAAAGCCCUGGGCUCAACCUAGGAAGUGCAUUCGAAACUUCCGAGCUGGAGUUCUGGAGAGGAAGGCGGAAUUCUCGGUGUAGAGGUGAAAUUCGUAGAUAUCGAGAGGAACACCGGUGGCGAAGGCGGCCAACUGGACGAAUACUGACGCUGAGACACGAAAGCGUGGGGAGCAAACAGG